UACAGAGGGGGCAAGCGUUGUUCGGAAUUACUGGGCGUAAAGGGCGCGUAGGCGGUCGUGACAAGUCACUUGUGAAAUCUCCGGGCUUAACUCGGAACGGUCAAGUGAUACUGUCGGACUAGAGUACAGAAGGGGCAACUGGAAUUCUCGGUGUAGCGGUGAAAUGCGUAGAUAUCGAGAGGAACACCUGCGGCGAAGGCGGGUUGCUGGGCUG
rnacentral:rRNA from 1 species